GAUGAACGCUGGCGGCGUGCCUAAUACAUGCAAGUCGAGCGAACGGACGAGAAGCUUGCUUUUCUGAUGUUAGCGGCGGACGGGUGAGUAACACGUGGAUAACCUACCUAUAAGACUGGGAUAACUUCGGGAAACCGGAGCUAAUACCGGAUAAUAUUUUGAACCGCAUGGUUCAAAAGUGAAAGACGGUCUUGCUGUCACUUAUAGAUGGAUCCGCGCUGCAUUAGCUAGUUGGUAAGGUAACGGCUUACCAAGGCAACGAUGCAUAGCCGACCUGAGAGGGGGAUCGGCCACACUGGAACUGAGACACGGUCCAGACUCCUACGGGAGGCAGCAGUAGGGAAUCGUCCGCAAUGGGCGAAAGCCUGACGGAGCAACGCCGCGUGAGUGAUGAAGGUCUUCGGAUCGUAAAACUCUGUUAUGAGGGAAGAACAGAUGUGUAAGUAACUGUGCACAGCUUGACGGUAACUAAUCAGAAAGCCACGGCUAACUACGUG
rnacentral:rRNA from 1 species